UCCCCGCGAGUGUUUGGGCGUCAACCCCGGGCGCGGAAUGAAAGUGAACGGAGGUGGGAGCCUUCGGGCGCACCAUCGACCGAUCCAGAAGUCUUCGGAUGGAUUUGAGUACGAGCGCGGCCGUUGGGACCCGAAAGAUGGUGAACUAUGCCUGGGUAGGGUGAAGCCAGAGGAAACUCUGGUGGAGGCUCGCAGCGGUUCUGACGUGCAAAUCGAUCGUCAAACCUGGGCAUAGGGGCGAAAGACUAAUCGAACCAUCUAGUAGCUGGUUCCUGUCGAAGUUUCCCUCAGGAUAGCAGCCGCGCGGGCCGGUUUUAUGAGGUAAAGCGAAUGAUUAGAGGCCUUGGGGGUGCAACACCCUUAACCUAUUCUCAAACUUUAAAUAUGUAAGAAGCCCCUGUUGCUUCGGUGAACGGGGGCAUUCGAACGCGGCGCGGCUAGUGGGCCAUUUUUGGUAAGCAGAACUGGCGAUGCGGGAUGAACCGAACGCGGGGUUAAGGUGCCGGAAUGCACGCUCAUCAGACACCACAAAAGAUGUCAAUUCAUCCGGACAGCCGGACGGUGGCCAUGGAAGCCGGAACCCGCCAAGGAGUGCGU
rnacentral:rRNA from 1 species